GGUUAAGCGACUAAGCGUACACGGUGGAUGCCCUGGCAGUCAGAGGCGAUGAAGGACGUGCUAAUCUGCGAUAAGCGUCGGUAAGGUGAUAUGAACCGUUAUAACCGGCGAUUUCCGAAUGGGGAAACCCAGUGUGUUUCGACACACUAUCAUUAACUGAAUCCAUAGGUUAAUGAGGCGAACCGGGGGAACUGAAACAUCUAAGUACCCCGAGGAAAAGAAAUCAACCGAGAUUCCCCCAGUAGCGGCGAGCGAACGGGGAGCAGCCCAGAGCCUGAAUCAGUGUGUGUGUUAGUGGAAGCGUCUGGAAAGGCGCGCGAUACAGGGUGACAGCCCCGUACACAAAAAUGCACAUGCUGUGAGCUCGAUGAGUAGGGCGGGACACGUGGUAUCCUGUCUGAAUAUGGGGGGACCAUCCUCCAAGGCUAAAUACUCCUGACUGACCGAUAGUGAACCAGUACCGUGAGGGAAAGGCGAAAAGAACCCCGGCGAGGGGAGUGAAAAAGAACCUGAAACCGUGUACGUACAAGCAGUGGGAGCACGCUUAGGCGUGUGACUGCGUACCUUUUGUAUAAUGGGUCAGCGACUUAUAUUCUGUAGCAAGGUUAACCGAAUAGGGGAGCCGAAGGGAAACCGAGUCUUAACUGGGCGUUAAGUUGCAGGGUAUAGACCCGAAACCCGGUGAUCUAGCCAUGGGCAGGUUGAAGGUUGGGUAACACUAACUGGAGGACCGAACCGACUAAUGUUGAAAAAUUAGCGGAUGACUUGUGGCUGGGGGUGAAAGGCCAAUCAAACCGGGAGAUAGCUGGUUCUCCCCGAAAGCUAUUUAGGUAGCGCCUCGUGAAUUCAUCUCCGGGGGUAGAGCACUGUUUCGGCAAGGGGGUCAUCCCGACUUACCAACCCGAUGCAAACUGCGAAUACCGGAGAAUGUUAUCACGGGAGACACACGGCGGGUGCUAACGUCCGUCGUGAAGAGGGAAACAACCCAGACCGCCAGCUAAGGUCCCAAAGUCAUGGUUAAGUGGGAAACGAUGUGGGAAGGCCCAGACAGCCAGGAUGUUGGCUUAGAAGCAGCCAUCAUUUAAAGAAAGCGUAAUAGCUCACUGGUCGAGUCGGCCUGCGCGGAAGAUGUAACGGGGCUAAACCAUGCACCGAAGCUGCGGCAGCGACGCUUAUGCGUUGUUGGGUAGGGGAGCGUUCUGUAAGCCUGUGAAGGUGUGCUGUGAGGCAUGCUGGAGGUAUCAGAAGUGCGAAUGCUGACAUAAGUAACGAUAAAGCGGGUGAAAAGCCCGCUCGCCGGAAGACCAAGGGUUCCUGUCCAACGUUAAUCGGGGCAGGGUGAGUCGACCCCUAAGGCGAGGCCGAAAGGCGUAGUCGAUGGGAAACAGGUUAAUAUUCCUGUACUUGGUGUUACUGCGAAGGGGGGACGGAGAAGGCUAUGUUGGCCGGGCGACGGUUGUCCCGGUUUAAGCGUGUAGGCUGGUUUUCCAGGCAAAUCCGGAAAAUCAAGGCUGAGGCGUGAUGACGAGGCACUACGGUGCUGAAGCAACAAAUGCCCUGCUUCCAGGAAAAGCCUCUAAGCAUCAGGUAACAUCAAAUCGUACCCCAAACCGACACAGGUGGUCAGGUAGAGAAUACCAAGGCGCUUGAGAGAACUCGGGUGAAGGAACUAGGCAAAAUGGUGCCGUAACUUCGGGAGAAGGCACGCUGAUAUGUAGGUGAAGUCCCUCGCGGAUGGAGCUGAAAUCAGUCGAAGAUACCAGCUGGCUGCAACUGUUUAUUAAAAACACAGCACUGUGCAAACACGAAAGUGGACGUAUACGGUGUGACGCCUGCCCGGUGCCGGAAGGUUAAUUGAUGGGGUUAGCGCAAGCGAAGCUCUUGAUCGAAGCCCCGGUAAACGGCGGCCGUAACUAUAACGGUCCUAAGGUAGCGAAAUUCCUUGUCGGGUAAGUUCCGACCUGCACGAAUGGCGUAAUGAUGGCCAGGCUGUCUCCACCCGAGACUCAGUGAAAUUGAACUCGCUGUGAAGAUGCAGUGUACCCGCGGCAAGACGGAAAGACCCCGUGAACCUUUACUAUAGCUUGACACUGAACAUUGAGCCUUGAUGUGUAGGAUAGGUGGGAGGCUUUGAAGUGUGGACGCCAGUCUGCAUGGAGCCGACCUUGAAAUACCACCCUUUAAUGUUUGAUGUUCUAACGUUGACCCGUGAUCCGGGUUGCGGACAGUGUCUGGUGGGUAGUUUGACUGGGGCGGUCUCCUCCUAAAGAGUAACGGAGGAGCACGAAGGUUGGCUAAUCCUGGUCGGACAUCAGGAGGUUAGUGCAAUGGCAUAAGCCAGCUUGACUGCGAGCGUGACGGCGCGAGCAGGUGCGAAAGCAGGUCAUAGUGAUCCGGUGGUUCUGAAUGGAAGGGCCAUCGCUCAACGGAUAAAAGGUACUCCGGGGAUAACAGGCUGAUACCGCCCAAGAGUUCAUAUCGACGGCGGUGUUUGGCACCUCGAUGUCGGCUCAUCACAUCCUGGGGCUGAAGUAGGUCCCAAGGGUAUGGCUGUUCGCCAUUUAAAGUGGUACGCGAGCUGGGUUUAGAACGUCGUGAGACAGUUCGGUCCCUAUCUGCCGUGGGCGCUGGAGAACUGAGGGGGGCUGCUCCUAGUACGAGAGGACCGGAGUGGACGCAUCACUGGUGUUCGGGUUGUCAUGCCAAUGGCACUGCCCGGUAGCUAAAUGCGGAAGAGAUAAGUGCUGAAAGCAUCUAAGCACGAAACUUGCCCCGAGAUGAGUUCUCCCUGACUCCUUGAGAGUCCUGAAGGAACGUUGAAGACGACGACGUUGAUAGGCCGGGUGUGUAAGCGCAGCGAUGCGUUGAGCUAACCGGUACUAAUGAACCGUGAGGCUUAACCUU
rnacentral:rRNA from 1 species